rnacentral:rRNA from 1 species
UAAAAUAGUCUAAGUGACAUAUCCCGAAAAUAUAAGAUCUAAGUGUGAUAUUAGUUAUAGACUAAAAUUUAAAGUGCUGUAGCAUUAGCUUCUAAUAAAUAUUCCCUUAGUGGUGAAAGGCCUACAAUUAUAUUGAUAACUGGAUAGUUGUUAAAUAUAUUUAGUUUAUAAUAAAUUUAUGAAGUGAUAAGAUUUCAUAAAGAGAAUUUAAAGUGUGAAUUUAAAAUUACUAUUAACUAAUACUUAAUAGUGUUUACUCUCAGUAAAAUAAUUUUACAUAAUAAAUAUUCUUUAGUAAUAACUCAUUUAAUUUAAUUAAUUUAAAAUUUGAUAAUGUAUAAAUAAGUAUAUUAAUAUAAAUUUAAUUAAAUAAACUCGGCAAACACUAUGUACGACUGUUUAACAAAAACAUAGCCGGUAGUUAUAUAUUAUCGGUGUAGCCUGCCCGGUGAAUUUUUAACGGCCGCAGUACUGUGACUGUGCAAAGGUAGCAUAAUCAUUUGACUUUUAAUUGAAGUCUAGUAUGAAAGGACAAACGUAUAUAAGCUGUAUCUAAGUAUAAAUUUAUAUAAAUUAUUUAUAGGGUGAAAAUACCCUAAAUAAGAAAAAUAGACGAGAAGACCCUAAGAAUUUUAAGAAAAAUAUAAGUUAAUUAUAAAAUGAUUUUUGUUGGGGCAACAUUUUUUCAUUUAAUAAAAGAUUAAUACUAUAACAUAACGAAAAGUUUAAUAAAGAAAAAAUUACCUUAGGGAUAACAGCAUAAUUUUAAUUAAAGAUUGUGACCUCGAUGUUGGACUAGGAACUAUUAAGGCUAGUCGUUUUAAUAUAAUAUGUUCUGUUCGAACUUUACUUCCUA